GCCCGCAGGGCUGUCGUGGAGCAGAGCCUGCAGGGUGGGCCGUGGCACGGAACCGUGCUGGAGCAGUGCUAGGAGAGCUGCGGCCACUGGGAAGCUCACGUGGGAUCCUUGCAGGAAGGUCAGCAUCCCGUAGGGCAGAGCCCACGUAGAGCCGGGGCAGAGAUUGGCUAUGGAGGAGCACCAGGGACUGACUGCAGCCUCAUUCCCUAUCCCGCGCUGCUCAAGAGGAGGUGGAAGAAGAGCCUGCUGGCAGUGAAAGGAACAGAACUUCUUGAAUGACUUGUUCUGGUGGAUCAUCUAUUUUCUCUCAGGCAUGAGAAAAAGCAAUAGCCACAAGCAGCAAAGAACAGAAAACUGCUGUUUUAUAUACAGAUUAACAUUUGUGAUGCCCCAAGAUAUCAGCUGGAUGCUUUUACAUGGUAGAAGAAUGUGCAGUCCAUAUACUACAGGGUAUUUACAGUGUCCCCUUCAUGGAAAGGAACAUCCUAAAUUUCUCCAUGACAGCUGUGCAACAAGCAUGGAGAAAGUAUGGAUCCAAACUCCUGUGAGAAGAUCUCUGACGGUUGUAGAUCUGGCAGGCUGGGUCUCUAUAACGUGUAGAAAUGGAGAGGAAAAAAAGUGUAGACUUGAAAAAUUUCACGUGAAGAGAACAGAGGACGUAAGGAGAUAAUUUCAUCAGAACGGUCUGACACAAUUCCUCCACAGCACAGAGAUGUCUGCUAAGGGAAAUACCUGUCACCACUAAAAACGAUGGCGAUUUUGGCAUUUUAUUCCAGGGAAGACAGGGGUGACCAUAUUGGGUCUCCUUUACUGGUCCUCCUGCUGAGUCCCAUACAGCUCCUCAUUCUGCUUACCUAAUUUUUGUGUAUGCUUUUAGUUACUCAGUGGUCACUGACAAGCAAACUGCUUAAAUUUCCUCCAAAUUAACACGUAGUAUCUGCAUCUCUCACUGCCGUGCUGAUCACUCCC
rnacentral:lncRNA from 1 species